rnacentral:misc_RNA from 1 species
GUGAAUCAUCGAAUUUUUGAACGCAAAUUGCGCUUCCUGGCAUCCCUGGAAGGAUGCCUGUUGGAUGAUCAGUAUUAACAAAAAAUCGUAUUGGUUGCAAUUGUUGACGUUUCUGGAUUUUGGGAUAUCUUAACUUUUUUGGUUAAGUGGCUUAUAAUUGACCUUUUGUGCGCAUUUUUAGACGUACAUAUAUUUUUUUUUAUUCGUCUAUUCGUAAUGCCAAAAUCUUAUUAUAUUCGAUCACAUCGUUUGGUUUCGUUUCCAUAAAAUUUUCAUGAUUUGACCUCAAAUCAGUUAGGAG